CAGUCGCCGCGGUAAUACGAAGGGGGCUAGCGUUGUUCGGAUUUACUGGGCGUAAAGGGUGCGUAGGCGGACUGAUAAGUCAGGGGUGAAAUCCCAAGGCUCAACCUUGGAACUGCCUUUGAUACUGUUAGUCUUGAGUUCGAGAGAGGUGAGUGGAACUGCGAGUGUAGAGGUGAAAUUCGUAGAUAUUCGCAAGAACACCAGUGGCGAAGGCGGCUCACUGGCUCGAAACUGACGCUGAGGCACGAAAGCGUGGGGAGCAAACAGGAUUAGAUACCCGCGUAGUCCCUGUCUCUUAUAC
rnacentral:rRNA from 1 species